UACGGAGGGGGCUAGCGUUGUUCGGAAUUACUGGGCGUAAAGCGCACGUAGGCGGCUUGGUAAGUUAGAGGUGAAAGCCUGGAGCUCAACUCCAGAAUUGCCUUUAAGACUGCCGAGCUAGCAGGUUAGAGAGGUGAGUGGAAUUCCGAGUGUAGAGGUGAAAUUCGUAGAUAUUCGGAAGAACACCAGUGGCGAAGGCGGCUCACUGGCUCAUACUGGACGCUGAGGUGCGAAAGCGUGGGGAGCAAACAGG
rnacentral:rRNA from 1 species